rnacentral:misc_RNA from 1 species
GGGUUGAAGGAGGCUACUGAAAGGUGCUCGACCAAAAAGCUUGCUUUGCCAUUAAAAUUGUUUGGAAAUUGGAUGGAGGUGGCAAAAUAUACACAUUUUGAAACUUGUAUAGAUUAGUUUCUCUCUCCUUUAGACUUCAAGGAUAUUGAUGAGGACUUGCUAUCUAAUAGAGCUGAAUAUCAAAAAAGAAUCCAUAUAUUGACCGCAAUUAGUUUGGGAUUAAAGUUUAUUGUUGUGGUUGUUGUUUUAGACUUAACGGAGUUAAACAUGAGAUUUAGAAGAGGA